CGCCUCCAUUCUAGGGCUCAAUCACGACAUCGUGGAUCACGCCUUUGAGCUCUUCAGGGACUGCUCCUCCGCAAUUAGGUGGUCUCCGACGAGGUUCCACUUGUUGUGUCGCGGCAGUUGCUUCAGAGCUUUGCACAGGAGCUGGGGAGGUUGGAUGCUAACGCGCAGAAGGAGAUUGCACACUAUGCCUU